GUGGCAUGAUGAUGAUGAAUUAAAUUUUUUUCUGAGAUCUCUGUGUCUCUGAGAGAUUCAAAUCCUCCUACUCAUUCUGA